rfam:Felis catus breed Abyssinian Contig157837.1, whole genome shotgun sequence. [26-MAY-2016]
GCCUGGGUGGCUCAGUCGGUUAAGCGUCCGACUUCAGCUCGGGUCACGAUCUCGCGGUCCGUGAGUUCGAGCCCCGCGUCAGGCU